GAGUUCUGUAAUGUCGAAUAUUUUACACAUUCCUAGAAUCAUUGCUAUAAUCAUAUGGAUUUAUCUAGUAGAAGAGAUUGACGAUGGUAUGAAAUAUCAACUCGGUGUACAACAGCAAGGUUACUACUACGGCGACAACCAGAACACACUCACAAGAAAUUGGAAUGAAAUGAUAAUGACAUUACAAUGCUGUGGAGUAAAUUAUUAUUACGAAACUUUGUCCACUACAUAUGGAAAUAGAUUUUGUUGUACAAAUGCUCA